rnacentral:lncRNA from 1 species
GACAGACUUCUCAGUAAUUUGGUAUUAAGUUCUCUAGCUCAGGAAAAGCAUUCUAGCUGAGGAUACAAAAGGCAAGAGGAAGAUAAGGAAAGAGAGAAAAUUUCAAGCCAAGAUCCCACUGUCCAUGCAGCGUCUUGUACAUAACUAUGCUCAUAUUGAGAGUAAGACAUUAUACAACAUGUAUUCAUUCUCGGUUAUGCUUUUCUCUGUCUGCACUCCAAAGAGAACCUGUCAUUCAACAGUCAUUGGAUCAAAGGACAAAAAAAUGUCACCUCCAACUACUAUAUCCUACUAUAUCCGGUACUGUGAUGACAAUGGAUGUCGUCUUGCUUGCUACACAAUGCGAUGAAGUACUACAGCAGCACAAUAACCAUGAAACCAGUCUUCAUUUCCUUCUUUGACAGCAAGCAUGCUUUUCAAAGAAUGAAUCUCUAAGUGGAUACUAUGUGAAGAAUGAAGUUUUGAUUCAGAACAGCCGAUUCAAACCAGGUAAUCCUAGCAUGGCAGGUGCAGCCCAAAGCCUUUCUAUCAGAAGAGAAAUCUUUUGAGCACUUCAUUUGAAAAAAAAAAAAAA